AUGGAGUCGGAGCCGCGUGUCCUGGACACAGUCCAGCUUGUCCCGGUGCCUGCUCCGGUGGUGCCCGUGUCCGCCCCGCUCUCUGUGCUGGAUUCCGACCACAACGUGUUCGAGGUCGACUUCCGCACGCUUCGCAUAUUCCCUUCCCACCCGCCCUCCAUAGAUCCUUUCGGUGUUCUCCAGCGCGCUUUUGCAGCUGCUCUGGGUCUUUUCCCGGAGCUGGCCGGCUCAGUCCACGACGACGGCCGCGUCCUUGUAUCCGGGAGCGACGCCGUUCCCCUCGUGCUGGCGGUGUCAGACCUGAGGGCAGACCAAGUCGAUGCGGACAGGCUGGACGCAGCGCUGCUUGAGCAGCUGGUGCCAUCGGACCGUGUCGCCAUGGCAGACCCGGUGCUGGCGUUGAAAGCUACGGUGUUUGCGUGCGGCGGUGUCGCCCUGGGGAUGAGGUGUGCGCACGCGCUAUGCGACGGUGCCGGCGCCGACAAAUUCCUCGCGGCUGCGGCGCUGUUCGCACAGGGGAAGCAGCCGGCUGUGACGCCGGUGUGGGAGCGGCAGGAGCGGCUGGGGUCCAGGCGGCCGCCGCGCUUGGCGAUUCCGUUCGAGCGCGUCCUCGCGCCUCACAAGGACGUCGGGCCGUACAGGUAUGGGCAUGAGCAGCUGGUGGCGAGGGAGUGCUUCCAUGUGAGCAACGCAAGCGUGGGGACGCUCCGGGAGCAGCUCUCUGGCGAGGCCGGCCUCAAGCUCACAACCUUCGAGGUUAUCGCGGCGUUUAUCUGGCGCGCCAGGGUGAAGGCCAACGGAACUCGCCCCGACGAGCUAGUGAAGAUGGUCUACUCCAUGAACGUGAGCAGAAUUCUUGACCCGGCGCUCCCGGAUGGAUACUGGGGCAACGCGUGCGUCCCCGUAUAUGUGGCCCUUGCCGCCGGCGAGCUCGUCGGCCAGGGGCUGGCGGACACAGCUGCUCUUAUCAGGAGGAGCAAGCAAGCGGUGGACGACGAGUACGUUCGCUCCUACAUCGACUUCCAGGAGAUGCACCGCCGCCGCGGGGAGCGGGUGACGGCGGGUGGCGGUGUGAGCGCCUUCACGGACUGGCGGCGCCUCGGCCACUCGGAGGUGGAUUUCGGGUGGGGUCGGCCGGACGUCGUGCUGCCACUCUCUUGGCGGAUCCUCGGGAGCACGUUUCCGUGUUUCUUGCUGCCUUAUAGUUCCACGGACGAGAGGCGCCGGACAGGGUUCAAGGUCUUGGUCGCGCUCAUGGACCACGCACUGCCCUGCUUCACACACCAAAUGGAUGAUAUACUGCUCCACUGUCCGGCUCCUAUGGCUAAACUAUGA
rnacentral:rRNA from 1 species